UUGUCGAAUCCUGCACAGCAGAACAACCUGAGAACCGGUUAAUAACCAACUGGGAUAAUGGGGGGCAUAUGCCCCCUGUGCUCCCGAGUUCCGUUGCUCUUGGGUAGCCCAACGGGUCCAAGACUUCGGGAAGUAACGAAACCCGGCACGGAAUGUGCCAAGGAACCUGAACAAGAUAAGUGCGGUCUUGGUACCCCCGUUCGCGGGGUGUGUCSGGAUCAACGCGCAAUCUUUUCUAUAAAUAUCGAAACGACUCUCGGCAACGGAUAUCUCGGCUCUCGCAUCGAUGAAGAACGUAGCGAAAUGCGAUACUUGGUGUGAAUUGCAGAAUCCCGUGAACCAUCGAGUCUUUGAACGCAAGUUGCGCCCUAAGCCAUUUGGCCGAGGGCACGCCUGCCUGGGCGUCAAUCAUCUAUUCGUCACCCCAACCUCUGCUCCCCAUAAAGGAGCUCGGGUCCUGGUUACGGAAGUUGGCCUCCCGUGGUCUCGAAGCGCGGCUGGCCUAAAAUUGAGCAUCGGGUUGGUGAUCUCCGAGGCACGCGGUGGUUGUUCAUUCUUACCUCGUGAUGUUGCCCCGGAGCAUCUUCCACAAGAAGCUCCACGACCCUAGAUACAUAUCGAUGCGACCCCA
rnacentral:rRNA from 1 species